GCUCAACCGAGGAAGCGCAUUGGAAACUGGGAAACUUGAGUGCAGAAGAGGACAGUGGAACUCCAUGUGUAGCGGUGAAAUGCGCAGAUAUAUGGAAGAACACCAGAGGCGAAGGCGGCUUUCUGGUCUGUAACUGACGCUGAUGCUCGAAAGCAUGGGUAUCGAACAGGAUUAGAUACCCUGGUAGUCCAUGCCGUAAACGAUGAAUGCUAGGUGUUGGGGGGUUUCCGCCCUUUAGUGCUGCAGCUAACGCAUUAAGCAUUCCGCCUGGGGAGUACGACCGCAAGGUUGAAACUCAAAGGAAUUGACGGGGGCCCGCACAAGCGGUGGAGCAUGUGGUUUAAUUCGAAGCAACGCGAAGAACCUUACCAGGUCUUGACAUCUUUUGAUCACCUGAGAGAUCAAGUUUCCCCUUCCGGGGCAAAAUGACACGGGGGGCGUGGGUGUCGUCACCUCGUGUCGUGAGAUGUUGGGUUAAGUCCCGCAACGAGCGCAACCCUUAUGACUAGUUGUCAGCAUUUAGUUGUGCACUCUAGUAAGACUGUGCGUGACAAACCCGAGGAGAGUGGGGAUGACAUCUAAUCAUCAUGCGCCUCAUGAGCUGUGCUACACACGUGCUACAAAGGGUGGUACAACG
rnacentral:rRNA from 1 species